rnacentral:rRNA from 1 species
GAUGAACGCUGGCGGCGUGCCUAAUACAUGCAAGUCGAGCGAACAGACGAGGAGCUUGCUCCUCUGACGUUAGCGGCGGACGGGUGAGUAACACGUGGAUAACCUACCUAUAAGACUGGGAUAACUUCGGGAAACCGGAGCUAAUACCGGAUAAUAUAUUGAACCGCAUGGUUCAAUAGUGAAAGACGGUUUUGCUGUCACUUAUAGAUGGAUCCGCGCCGCAUUAGCUAGUUGGUAAGGUAACGGCUUACCAAGGCAACGAUGCGUAGCCGACCUGAGAGGGUGAUCGGCCACACUGGAACUGAGACACGGUCCAGACUCCUACGGGAGGCAGCAGUAGGGAAUCUUCCGCAAUGGGCGAAAGCCUGACGGAGCAACGCCGCGUGAGUGAUGAAGGUCUUCGGAUCGUAAAACUCUGUUAUUAGGGAAGAACAAAUGUGUAAGUAACUAUGCACGUCUUGACGGUACCUAAUCAGACAGCCACGGCUAACUACGUG